rnacentral:lncRNA from 10 species
ACGCAGUGCAGAAUUAUCUUAUCAGAGUCGAUCCCCCGCCCCCGUCGAAUAUUCUACGAAUCCCGUGCGUGUUCCAGUUCCUCCAUCCCUGCGCCUAGCCUCAAGCCCCCAGCGCGUCCCCUGGGAUCAUCGCCGCGGUCUCCUAACUGGUUUCCCUGCCUCGCCUCGCCCCCUGCCAUCCUCUGGACGCGGCAGCCUGUGUGAUGGAAUCGCGGCACGCGCCUUUUCAGAACAUAGCAAAGCUCUUUAUUGAUGACAGUAUGGGUGAGGGUGCCGUGUGAGGCACUCUGAUUGGGCUGGUCCCGCGCUACAUAGAGACUGCCUAAUCCCUACCUGUGCCCUUCGCUCCUUCCCACAGCCUGGCCCAAGGAUGCUUCCUGCUAGUUCUCCUCACCAUCCCUGAAGGCCCCGGGAUGGACACCAAGGUUGGUUCCAGUUCCCUGCUACCACAAGCAACAGUGUGUUGAACUUCAUCAUGUCUCCACUUGUGGACUUGUAUGAGAAUUUCUAGGAGAUACAUGGUUGACCCUUGAACAAGGUGAGGUUUGGGGUGCUGAUCUCCCAUGCAAUCAAAAAUCUGUGUAUGACUUUUGACUCCCCCACAAUUUAAUAAUAGUCUAUUGUUGACUGGAAGCCUUACUGAUAAUGAACAGUCAAUUAACACAUACAUAUGUUAUAUGCAUUAUGUACUAUAUUCUUAAAAUAAAGUAAGCUAGAGAAA